GAUGAAGAACGCAGCGAAAUGCGAUAAGUAAUGUGAAUUGCAGAAUUCAGUGAAUCAUCGAAUCUUUGAACGCACAUUGCGCCCGCCAGCAUUCUGGCGGGCAUGCCUGUUCGAGCGUCAUUUCAACCCUCGAGCCCCCCCGGGGGCCUCGGUGUUGGGGGACGGCACAACAGCCGCCCCCGAAAUGCAGUGGCGACCCCGCCGCAGCCUCCCCUGCGUAGUAGCACACACCUCGCACCGGAGCGCGGAGGCGGUCACGCCGUAAAACGCCCAACUUUCUUAGAGUUGACCUCGGAUCAGGUAGGAAUACCCGCUGAACUUAAGCAUAUCAAUAAGCGGAGGA
rnacentral:misc_RNA from 1 species